GCAUCAGUGAAGUCUCCUUGUAUAAUUGAGGGACAGAGAUAAGGAAUCUGAAGAUAUCCCCCAAGGAAGAUGUCGCUCGCAGAUGACAAGUACUGACAUGCUAAUGGGAAGACAGUAGGCAGCUCAGAAUGUGCUUAAGAAACAGUUGUUCAUUUAAACAGAAGCCGGUCAGAAUAUUGGACAGACUCUCGCCCAGACCCGAAAUUCCCCAUUUCCUGUGAACCAGCUCCUGAGUCUUCUGGAACAAAGUCUUCUGGAACAAAUGCACACCCUACUUUCAAACUUUGUGUUGCAUCCAUAGUGCCAUCUUCCUUGUUCCUGGUCUUUUUCCGAUGUGCCAAUGUCUUUUCAUCUGUCUUGUCUACUAGCCCUGCUGAAGGCAAGAUUUACGUCUUGCUCCUAUUCAUGGUGACCAGUUGAACCAAGCCAGAGCCAGAAGUGCCAUCACCAAACCCAAUCCCGCGUUGAGUGUGCACCUUGAUCAACCAAAUUUGCCUGGUCUCUUUCUAAGAAGCAGAAUCACAGCAGGAAAGGCUUGUGGGGAAAAGCAAAACAAAACAAAACAAAAAGGUUUUCUUAUUCUGGCAUGCAUUAGUCAGGCAGUUGGUGAAAUGUGUAAAUGCCCCUAUGCAUAUUAAAGACCAUUUAAUAAAAACCU